rnacentral:rRNA from 1 species
AGCAGCCGCGGUAAUUCCAGCUCCAAUAGCGUAUAUUAAAGUUGUUGCAGUUAAAAAGCUCGUAGUUGAAUUUCGGGAUCAAAGGAUCGGUCAUGCCUUGGUAUGUACUGGUUUUAUUGGUUCUCACCUUCUAAAGAACCAUAAUGUCAUUCAUUUGAUGUUAUGGGGAAUUAGGACUGUUACCUUGAAAAAUUAGAGUGUUUAAAGCAGGCUUACGCUUGAAUACAUUAGCAUGGAAUAAUGAAAUAGGACAUCAGAUUCUAUUUUGUUGGUUUCUAGGAUCGAUGUAAUGAUUAAUAGGGAUAGUUGGGGGCAUUAGUAUUCAAUUGUCAGAGGUGAAAUUCUUGGAUUUAUUGAAGACUAACUACUGCGAAAGCAUUUGCCAAGGAUGUUUUCAUUAAUCAAGAACGAAAGUUAGGGGAUCGAAGACGAUCAGAUACCGUCGUAGUCUUAACCAUAAACUAUGCCGACUAGGGAUCGGAU